rnacentral:lncRNA from 1 species
UUGUUUCUGUUUAAUCCAGAUUGACGGCAUUUUUUUUCGCACAGGUGCCACCCCAGCCUCAGCCCUGCCCCCUACACCCCCCCCCCCCCCCCCCUGCCUGAGCGGGUCACCAAAGAUCCUUUGUGAGCGUUAUCACGCGGCGAUGAGUGAAGGAGGCCCAGCCCUGUGUUCUAAUUAGAGAGCCCUGCUCUGAAGCCGCAUUCCAGCCCCAGAGCUCCGCCAGCACCUGGGCCGAGAGCCGUCAUCGCCGUGACAACCACAGCACAGCUGGGCAGCUGUUAUCAGACCAGGAUCUGCAGAAUACAGGUGGGCAGGGAGCAGCGGGUGGGGUGGGGAUAGGCAGAGCUGAGAACAGAAGGAAGGAGG